rnacentral:rRNA from 1 species
AUUUUAUUUACAUUAAAAAGUUAUUGUGAGAUGAAAUAUAAUUUGAAUAUAAAAAUGUUAUUUAUUUUUUUGUUAAUUUAUUUUUUUAUUUAAAUUAAAAUUAAAUUUGUUUUUUUAUUAAUUUUUAAAGAAAAAAUUUUUUUAAUUAUAUAUUAUUUUUAUUGAAAAAGAUUUAUUUUUGUUUAUUAAAAGUAGAAUUUAUUUUUUGUACCUUGUGUAUCAGGGCUUAUUAAUUUUUAAUUUUUAUAGGUUUUUCUCGAAAUUAAGGGAUUUAUUUUAUUAUAAUUUUUAAUGUUUCAUCAUUAUUUUUCAUAGUAAAAUGGCAAUGAAAAGUUUUCGUUCUUUUUAUAUCUAGUUUUUCAAGAAAUGAAUUUAAUUCAGAAUUUUGUAUAUAAAUAAUUUUUUUAAAAUUAAAUUAUUUAUUUAAAAAAUUUUAUAAUUUAUAAGCCCUGAUUUAAAUUAAAUUUUUAAAAACUUUUUUUUAUUAUUAAAUUUAUAAGUUUAGAAUUAUUUAUUAAUUAAAUUAUGUUAUAAUUUAUUUAAUUUUUAAUAUUAUUUAUAUUUGUUUUAUUUUAUUUAUUGAAAUUAUAUUUAUAAUUUUUUAUAUUAUUUAAUAAUGAUAAGAUUAGUAUGAUUUUUGUAAAUAAUUUUUUUAUAAUUAAUUUUUAAUAAAGGAAUUCGGCAAAUUAAUUUUCGAAUGUUUAUCAAAAACAUUUUUUUUUGUUAAUAAUUUAAAGUAAAGCCUGCUCAAUGAAUAUUUAAAUAGCUGCGGUAUUUUGACCGUACAAAGGUAGCAUAAUCAUUAGUUUUUUAAUUGAAAGCUAGAAUGAAUGGUUUAACGAGAAAUUAACUGUCUCUAUAAAAUUAUCAAAAUUUAAUUUUUAAGUCAAAAAGCUUAAAUUUUUUUAAAAGACGAGAAGACCCUAUAGAUCUUUAUAAAUAAUAAAUUUAUUAAAUUUUUAGAUUUAUUUUUUUAUAAUUUUAUUUUUAUUUUAUUGGGGUGAUAUAAAGAUUAAAAUAACUCUUUAUUUUUUUAUUAAUUAUUUUUAUAAUUUUGAUCCUUAUUUAUGAUUAUAAGAUUAAGUUACCUUAGGGAUAACAGCGUAAUUUUUUUAAAGAGUUCUUAUCGAUAAAAAAGAUUGCGACCUCGAUGUUGGAUUAAGAAAAAAUUUUGGUGCAGAAGUUAAAAUUUUAGGUCUGUUCGACCUUUAAAUUCUUACAUGAUCUGAGUUCAGACCGGCGUGAGCCAGGUUGGUUUCUAUCUUUAUUUUUUAAAAAUAUUUUAGUACGAAAGGACCAAUUAUUUAAUAUAUUAUUUUAUUUAAGAUUUAAAUUA